CCUACGGGAGGCAGCAGUGGGGAAUUUUGGACAAUGGGCGCAAGCCUGAUCCAGCCAUGCCGCGUGCGGGAAGAAGGCCUUCGGGUUGUAAACCGCUUUUGUCAGGGAAGAAAAGACUCCUGCUAAUACCGGGGGUUCAUGACGGUACCUGAAGAAUAAGCACCGGCUAACUACGUGCCAGCAGCCGCGGUAAUACGUAGGGUGCAAGCGUUAAUCGGAAUUACUGGGCGUAAAGCGUGCGCAGGCGGUUAUGCAAGACAGAUGUGAAAUCCCCGGGCUCAACCUGGGAACUGCAUUUGUGACUGCAUGGCUAGAGUACGGCAGAGGGGGAUGGAAUUCCGCGUGUAGCAGUGAAAUGCGUAGAUAUGCGGAGGAACACCGAUGGCGAAGGCAAUCCCCUGGGCCUGUACUGACGCUCAUGCACGAAAGCGUGGGGAGCA
rnacentral:rRNA from 1 species